UGACGUCAAAUCAUCAUGCCCCUUAUGGACCUGGGCUACACACGUGCUACAAUGGGCGGUACAAAGGGUCGCGAACCCGCGAGGGGGAGCCAAUCCCAAAAAGCCGCUCUCAGUUCGGAUUGCAGGCUGCAACUCGCCUGCAUGAAGCCGGAAUCGCUAGUAAUCGGCGGAUCAGCAGGUCGCGGUGAAUACGUUCCCGGGCCUU
rnacentral:rRNA from 1 species